GGAAGGAUCAUUACCGAUUCGUGAAAACCUUUUCUUAACACACUGUGAACCCGGUCGUGCACUGCGCGCACGUCUCCUUUCGGGGUUGCUGCUUGUUUGUGGCAUUAAAUCGUUUGUUGGGCGGUCUGCAUUUGAGAAUUGUUUCUCAUGUGUGGUGCGUCUGCCUUGCGAGCCCCGUCUGGAGGCUGCGUGCGUGUACGGUUUUCUCUUCACCGCGCACGGCCUCAGGGUCGCGUGCACCUGUCAAACCUUUUUUUUUUCAACCAAGCAAAUUUGCAGACCGAACUGUUGGGGCUUUCGUACUUGAAAGCUUGUCUUUAUCAUGAAAUCAUGGACAACUUUCAACGGUGGAUCUCUUGGCUCGUGGAUCGAUGAAAAACGCACCAAAACGCGAUAUGUAGUGUGAAUUGCAAAAUUCAGUGAAUCAUCGAAUCUUUGAACGCAAAUGGCGCUCCUGGGUAUUCCCAGGAGCAUGUCUGUCUCAGUGUCGUUUUCACCUCGAACGUGCUUCGGCGCGGUUGUAAUGAGGCGUCUGAAGGCCUGUUUUUGCAUGGUGCUGCUUGGCUAGCGCCUGUGGACAGGCUUUUUCAGUCCCUUGAAAUGCAGUGGCCGAACGUGUUGUGCUGAAGCAUGGCUUCGGGUCGGUUCGCCCCGGAUCUGCUCGCACGGCUGGUCAAAUCUUCGUUGUCUGUCGUCGUGUUGCAGUGGCCUGGGCGCACUUGACAUCAUGCCGUCUGCGCAGCCGUUCGAACAAAGCCAAAAGCCUUGGAAAGAAGAGAAAGCGGUUCCUGCCGGCCCUGUGCGCGCGCGCAAGAGCCGCAAACACCUUCGACCUGAGAUCAGUCAAGACUACCCGCUGA
rnacentral:rRNA from 1 species